rnacentral:rRNA from 1 species
GCUAACCCGUUAAGUANCCCCCCUGGAAAGUACGGCCGCAAGGCUAAAACUCAAGGAAUUGACGGGGACUCGCACAAGCGGUGAGGCAUGUGGUUUAAUACGAUAAUAACCGUGGACCUUACCCAGGUUUGACAUGCACUUGCAAUCCGCCAGAAAUGGCGAGAUCCUUCGAGGUAGUGCACAGGUGUUGCAUGGCUGUCGUCAGCUCGAGUCGUGAGAUGUUAGGUUAAGCCUUUAUCGAGCGCAACCCCUAUUGCUAGUUGUAUCACUCUAGCGAGACUGCCCGCGCANCGGRAGGAGGGUGGGGAUGACGUCAAGUCAGCAUGGCCUUUAUGCCUGGGGCYACACAAUGCGACAAUGGUCGGCACAACGGGUCGCAACUUUGUAAAAAGAAGCCAAUCCCUWAAACCGAUCUCAGUUCGGAUUGAAGGCUGCAACUCGCCUUCAUGAAGUUGGAAUCGCUAGUAUCGCCGGUCAGCUAUACGGCGGUGAAUACGUUCUCGGMUCUUGUACACACCGCCCGUCAGCGAGGGAAGUCGAAAUCGCUCGAAGUGCCACMUCUMACGUGGCCCUAGAGCGAGGUCGUAACCAGCGCU